AGAAAUAAAUUUUCCCGGUGCCCGUCCCGCCUCACAGUCCCUCCAGUCCUAACGUGGAAAAAUAAUUAAAAUACAAUUAAUUUAACCCAUUAUUUUUCUCUCCAUCUCCUUCUCCUUUCUCACUUUUUUUUUUUUUUUUUUUUUGUGUCAAAAUCAUUUUCCAAUUUAUUUAUUUAUUUUUUCCACUUUUUGUUUAUCAAUAUGCUUAUAUUUCAUUAUGGAAAGGAAGAAUGCUUGCUCCAAAUUUCUGUUAAUUUGUGGGAUGGGAAUCAGUAAGAGUAGAGAGGGAAAAAAGACCCACGAAAAUUUGUGUACAGAAAAAAUUAAGUAAUUUUUUUUUUAGAUAUAUUGUUGAGUGGCUAUUGAGCGAGUAGAUAAGGUGGGAAAACAGAGUUUUUAGGCCUAUCAAACCCGAAACAAUGGCUCUACUUUCAUCUACCAUAACAGCAUUGUCUUUCAUUCCUGCUAGACUUGUAACACAAAAUCAUCAUAAUCUGUAGCCCCUUUUCCACAAUCCUAUUUUGCCUCGCAACGCCUCCAAAAUUCGUAUCUCUUUUAGGGUUCAAGCUGCAAAACCUCCUGUCGGAGUAUGCUGCUUCGGAGUGGAAGUGCCAAAAGUAGAGCCAAAUUUCAAUCCCCCGUUUCUUGGAUUCACCAAGACUACUGAAAUUUGAAAUUCUAGAGCUAGUAUAAUCGGGCCUAUUGGAAUCUUCAUUGUAGAAUUGGCAUAGAGAACUGGCCUGGGUGUAAGCUUCAUAGCCAUAACUAUGGGUUCCUGAACCAUUUCGAGGCCAGCAUCCCAUUGGCAAAGCAAAAAUGUUAAAGGAGGGACUAUUGGCAAAGGAAAUGCAGCUAUGGUUGCAACUAUGGAGAGGUUAAAGGUGGAACUAGAUUAUGCCAUAGGGAGGCCCACAAAGACAAGAUUUCAAGUAAAUUAACAAGUGAGUGUGGUUAUCUAGUUGGGAAGCAUGCUCCUCUGCAAGUUGAGACAUGGAUGCAGAUUGAUGAGAAUGAAAGAAAAAGAAUCAGAAACCUUCUACAGAUUGGAAUUACCCAUUUUUAUUUCAUUCAUAGAUUGAUUGACAUGUUUGGUUCAACGUCUACACUUCUUGGAAAUCUUGUUGACAAUGGAUUGAAGAAUAAUAUAUGUGGAGAGCCUAAAUGUGCGUACAAAGAUUUGAAAACACUUCAAUUUGAAUUUAUUUUGUUACUGUUGUAUAAAGCUUUGGGAAUAUCUAAUACGUAAUGUCAAACAUUGCAAAUGAAAUCCCAAGACAUUUUAAAUGCAAUGAAUUUAGUAUCAACUUUAAAAGUGCCUCCUUCAAAAGAUGCGAGAAGAUGAACAUGAUGAUUUUCUUCAGAAUGUGGCAUCUUUUUUUAUGAAAACGUAUGAUAUUGUGGUGUCUGAUUUAAAAGGAUGUUCUUGUCGAUAAAAAAUAAUAUUAUAGUGGAGAAUUACUAUCAUUUUAUUAUAUUUAAUUCUAUAAUAGAGUUUUAGUUGAUGGAGUCGAAUAGCAUAUUUAUAGAGAAAACAAUAAAAUUGUUUACUUUGGUGAGGCUUUAAAUCCGAUUGAUAAGCUCAAAUCAUUCUCUAUAAAUGCUAUAUGUGUACACUAUCAUUUUCAUCAAGGUUGGUAUGGUUACUUCUUUUAUUUUCAAAAGAAAAAUAAGGUAUUUUGCCAUAUCGAAACUUCAAUUCAUUCAUUAUUAUGUUAAGUUUACAGAAAUGGUAUGAAUGCACACCAUAGCUAAAUCUAAAUUUUGACAAGUGUUUCUGCCUUAUUGAGUCCUUCAAAUUAAAUUAGUCUUCAUGUAUGAUGCCACAUGUCUUGACAUGUAUUGGAGGAGGGGUUGGCCGAAUGGCAAGACUCCAUGACACCAAGUACCUACCCAUGUCGUCAUCUAUGUCGCCGAGGUGUUUCCAUAUCAUUGAGGAGCUUGAUUUUUUUAAAGUCUAAUUUAGCUAAUAUACUUUAAUUACGUCAUUUUGGUGUCUUUAAGCACCAAAUUGACUAGCCUAAAUUGUACACAAAAAUUGGCUAGAACAAAACAUAAAUCAAAAUACAAAGGCAAGCUUAAAUUGCAAACCUCUUGGCAUAAGUAAAUAUAUUUCGUGUUUGCUCACCAUCAUGGCUAACAAUGCCAUGAUUUUCUAACACUCAUUUUUGGUAAUGUUAGGCACGAUGUAUAAUAGACUUCUAAGCUUUUGAAGUGUAAUGGCUUUGUAAGGAUAUCUACAAGUUGAUUUUAUGUGGGGCAAUGGACCAAGUUUGUCUUCUAAUUUCUCUCAGCCUCCGGAUGUUUUGAUAUUUUAUAGGAGUGUACUUUGUUCUCCUAUGUUGCAUUGGAUUUUAGGCAAUGGCUAAAGCUGAAGUGUUGUCACAAUAGAUGAUGAUUGCAUUUUUUUUUCUUGCAACCUAAAUCAUUAAGCAAUUUCCUUAGCCAAAUUUCUUGGUUUGAUGCUGCUGCAAUUGAAAUAUACUUGGCUUUGAUAGUUGAUUGUGCUGUGGUUCCUUGCUUGUGUGAGUUUUAAGAAAAUGGACCUAUCAAACAUGAACAAGUAACAAGUGUAUUUUUCAUGUCUUUCAAGCUGCCUGUCCAAUCACUAUCACAAUAGACAACUAGUUCAUAAAUUUUACCAUGCUUGUAUAAGAUUUCAUAGUUAGUUGCACCUUUAACAUUCCUUGGGAUAUUUUUUAUAGCUUGAUAAUGGCUCUAAGAUGGAGCACUCAUGAACCUUGACAAUACAUUUGUAGCAUACAUGAUAUUAGGUCUUGAUGCAUGUAUAUAAAGUAAGCUUCCUAUCAAACUUCGAUUAAUCGAGCCAUUUAUCAUCAACUUCAAACUUUGCAUUUUGCAUCAUAAUGAGUUUCAAUAGAUUUGGCAUUUUCUAGCUGAAAUUUGUUAAGCAAAUCUAAAGUAUAUUUUUCUUGGAAUAGAAAUAUACCUUUACUCGUUUGCUUGAUCUCCAUGCCUAGGAAAGAAGUUCAUUAAACCAAGAUCAAACAUCUCAAAGCUUGCUUCGUCUUGCUCUUGAAUUGUUGGAUAACUUCGGAUUACAACCUGUUAUGAGUAAAUCAUCAACAUAAAGAGAGAUUACCAUUUUGUUUUUAUGUGAGUUAGCUUUGAUGUAGAGGGUUCUCUCAUUUUCACUACUUGAAAAAUUUCAUGAAGCAAAAAGUCAUCAAUCCUUGCAUACCAAGCACUUGGAGCUUGUUCAAGCCCAUAUAAUGCUUUAUGAAGCUUGUAUAGUUUCUCCUCCUCUCUUUCUUUUACAAAACUUUCAAUUUGCUCAACAUGGAUCUCCUAUUCCAAUAUACCAUUUAGAAAGUUUGAAAGGCUGACUUUACAUUCAAAUGGUAUACUUUCCAAGAAUUGUUGGUUGCAUAGGCUAGAAGUAGUCUUAUGGUUUCAUGUUUUGCCAUCGGUGCAAAGGUCUCAGUGUAAUCCACUCCAUAUUGUUGGAUAUAUCCUUUUACCACCAGUCUUGCCUUGUAAUUGUUCAAGGUGCGAUGAGGGUUUAGUUUAGCUCUAAAAACUCAUUUAACACCUAUGACAUGCCCAUCUCUCGGUCAUGGUACCAAACUCCAUGUCUUCUUCUUUCAAUCAUAUAAAGCUCGUUCUUCAUUGCAGCUUGCCAUUCUUUAUGUUGUGCAUCUUCAUUAUAAGUUGCUGGAUCAUGAGUUGCCAUGCUUUCUCUCUCAUAGAGCUCUACAAUUGAUUUGGUUCCUCUUUUGCUAACAUAAUUUUUAUUGGCUGGAUCAUCAUCUUCCUCUUCUUUGAUAGCAUCCAGAUCACUUUGGUUCGUGAAAGGGAUUCUUGAUUGAAUAUAAAUGCUUAUUAGCACUUGUGUUCUAUUGUGAAUCUUCAUCCAUUACAACAUCUCUCAAGGCAACAACCUAUAUCUUUCACACAUCAUAUAUUCUACAGCCUUUUGAAACUGAGCUAUAGCCAACAAGAAUGCCAAUGUUUGCUUUCUUGUCUAUCUUGGAUCUCUUAGUGUCAUGAACAUGUAAGUAACAAAUACUUCUAAAAACUUUUAAAUGAGCUAUUAAGGGUUUAAAACCAUACCACAGUUCAUUUAGAGUUUUGGAAUUAAUUGCUUUACUUAAAAGUCUAUUAAGGAGGUACACACUCAUGUUGGUAGCUUUGAUCCAAAAAUUUUUCAGUAGGCUUUUCUAAAACAACAAACAUCUUGACAUUUCCAUGAUGUUUAUAUUCUUUCUUUUACUACCUCCAUUUUGUUGUGGUGUAUAGAGUUAUAAGCUGAUGUAUGAUGCCAUUUUGUUUGUAAAUAUCUUGAAAAGCACUUAAAAUGUACUCACCUACAUUGUCGAUUUAACUACCUUGAUAGUUGUUUGAGCUUGAUUCUCUACAAGCAUUUUGAAUUCUUGAAACGUGGCCGUCACCUUUGAUUUUUUUUUAAUCAAUAAAAAUGACAAAUGCCUCCUUUCGACAUAAGUUGUCUCAUUUAUAGGGCUACACAAAUCUGAGUGCACUAGCUGUAUUUUCUUCUUUGCCUUUUUGAAAGUUGUUAAAGGAAAUGACUGCCUCUUGAGCUUGCUAAGUUGACAUGUUUGGCAUACAACUUAAACAUCUUGGACUUGUGGCAGAUUGUCAACAAUCUGUUGAGUUUUGUAUUUGCUAUGUGGUGGUAUAGUUGUAGUGACCAUGGCUUCUAUGCCAUAGCUUCGAUUCUUCUUGGACUUUAAUGCUCAAGGCUGAUUGAUUUUGUUUAUUAAAAUUAAUCACAAGACUUCUAUACUUCAUAUGGACAAGUAACACAACUUUUCCAUUCUUAGACAUUUCACAACUUGUAUUUAAGAAUUUCAAAGUGUAAUAAUUCUUCAUGAGUUGUGGCAUACUUAAUAGGUUCUCGAACAAGUUUUGAACAGAUAACAAGUUUGUGAUUAAUGUUGUACCUUUCGGUGUUUUGAUCACCAAAUCUCCUUUCUCUUGUGUUUUCAUCAUUUGUCCAUUUGCUACCUUGAUUUUUUUUGCAAUUUUUGAAUCUAACCUCAU